rnacentral:rRNA from 1 species
AUUGAACGCUGGCGGCAUGCUUUACACAUGCAAGUCGAACGGUAACAGGGUGCUUGCACCGCUGACGAGUGGCGAACGGGUGAGUAAUGCGUCGGAACGUGCCGAGUAGUGGGGGAUAACGCAGCGAAAGUUGUGCUAAUACCGCAUACGUACUGAGGUAGAAAGUGGGGGACCUUCGGGCCUCACGCUAUUCGAGCGGCCGACGUCUGAUUAGCUAGUAGGGGAGGUAAAGGCUCACCUAGGCGACGAUCAGUAGCGGGUCGGAGAGGAUGAUCCGCGCGACUGGGACUGAGACACCGACCAGACUCCUACGGGAGGCAGCAGUGGGGAAUUUUGGACAAUGGGCGAAAGGCUGAUCCAGCCAUGCCGCGUGUCUGAAGAAGGCCUUCGGGUUGUAAAGGACUUUUGUCAGGGAGGAAAUCCCUAGUGCUAAUAACACUGGGGGAUGACAGUACCUGAAGAAUAAGCACCGGCUAACUACGUGCCAGCAGCCGCGGUAA